GGGUUGUGAGGUUAAGCGACUAAGCGUACACGGUGGAUGCCCUGGCAGUCAGAGGCGAUGAAGGACGUGCUAAUCUGCGAAAAGCGUCGGUAAGGUGAUAUGAACCGUUAUAACCGGCGAUGUCCGAAUGGGGAAACCCAGUGCAAUUCGUUGCACUAUCGUUAACUGAAUACAUAGGUUAACGAGGCGAACCGGGGGAACUGAAACAUCUAAGUACCCCGAGGAAAAGAAAUCAACCGAGAUUCCCCCAGUAGCGGCGAGCGAACGGGGAGCAGCCCAGAGUCUGAAUCAGCUUGUGUGUUAGUGGAACGGUCUGGAAAGUCCGACGGUACAGGGUGAUAGUCCCGUACACCAAAAUGCACAGGCUGUGAACUCGAAGAGUAGGGCGGGACACGUGGUAUCCUGUCUGAAUAUGGGGGGACCAUCCUCCAAGGCUAAAUACUCCUGACUGACCGAUAGUGAACCAGUACCGUGAGGGAAAGGCGAAAAGAACCCCGGCGAGGGGAGUGAAAAAGAACCUGAAACCGUGUACGUACAAGCAGUGGGAGCACCUUCGGGUGUGACUGCGUACCUUUUGUAUAAUGGGUCAGCGACUUAUAUUCUGUAGCAAGGUUAACCGUAUAGGGGAGCCGCAGGGAAACCGAGUCUUAACUGGGCGUUAAGUUGCAGGGUAUAGACCCGAAACCCGGUGAUCUAGCCAUGGGCAGGUUGAAGGUUGGGUAACACUAACUGGAGGACCGAACCGACUAAUGUUGAAAAAUUAGCGGAUGACUUGUGGCUGGGGGUGAAAGGCCAAUCAAACCGGGAGAUAGCUGGUUCUCCCCGAAAGCUAUUUAGGUAGCGCCUCGUGAAUUCAUCUUCGGGGGUAGAGCACUGUUUCGGCUAGGGGGUCAUCCCGACUUACCAACCCGAUGCAAACUACGAAUACCGAAGAAUGUUAUCACGGGAGACACACGGCGGGUGCUAACGUCCGUCGUGAAGAGGGAAACAACCCAGACCGCCAGCUAAGGUCCCAAAGUCAUGGUUAAGUGGGAAACGAUGUGGGAAGGCACAGACAGCCAGGAUGUUGGCUUAGAAGCAGCCAUCAUUUAAAGAAAGCGUAAUAGCUCACUGGUCGAGUCGGCCUGCGCGGAAGAUGUAACGGGGCUAAACCAUGCACCGAAGCUGCGGCAGCGACACUAUGUGUUGUUGGGUAGGGGAGCGUUCUGUAAGCCUGCGAAGGUGACCUGUGAGGGUUGCUGGAGGUAUCAGAAGUGCGAAUGCUGACAUAAGUAACGAUAAAGCGGGUGAAAAGCCCGCUCGCCGGAAGACCAAGGGUUCCUGUCCAACGUUAAUCGGGGCAGGGUGAGUCGACCCCUAAGGCGAGGCCGAAAGGCGUAGUCGAUGGGAAACAGGUUAAUAUUCCUGUACUUGGUGUUACUGCGAAGGGGGGACGGAGAAGGCUAUGUUAGCCGGGCGACGGUUGUCCCGGUUUAAGCAUGUAGGCUGAUUGUCCAGGCAAAUCCGGAUAAUCAAGGCUGAGGUGUGAUGACGAGGCACUACGGUGCUGAAGUAACAAAUGCCCUGCUUCCAGGAAAAGCCUCUAAGCAUCAGGUAACAUUAAAUCGUACCCCAAACCGACACAGGUGGUCAGGUAGAGAAUACCAAGGCGCUUGAGAGAACUCGGGUGAAGGAACUAGGCAAAAUGGUGCCGUAACUUCGGGAGAAGGCACGCUGGUGUGUAGGUGAAGUCCCUGCGGAUGGAGCUGAGACCAGUCGAAGAUACCAGCUGGCUGCAACUGUUUAUUAAAAACACAGCACUGUGCAAACACGAAAGUGGACGUAUACGGUGUGACGCCUGCCCGGUGCCGGAAGGUUAAUUGAUGGGGUUAUCCGUAAGGAGAAGCUCUUGAUCGAAGCCCCGGUAAACGGCGGCCGUAACUAUAACGGUCCUAAGGUAGCGAAAUUCCUUGUCGGGUAAGUUCCGACCUGCACGAAUGGCGUAAUGAUGGCCAGGCUGUCUCCACCCGAGACUCAGUGAAAUUGAACUCGCUGUGAAGAUGCAGUGUACCCGCGGCAAGACGGAAAGACCCCGUGAACCUUUACUAUAGCUUGACACUGAACAUUGAGCCUUGAUGUGUAGGAUAGGUGGGAGGCUUUGAAGCGUGGACGCCAGUCUGCGUGGAGCCAACCUUGAAAUACCACCCUUUAAUGUUUGAUGUUCUAACGUUGGCCCCUUACCGGGGUUGCGGACAGUGUCUGGUGGGUAGUUUGACUGGGGCGGUCUCCUCCCAAAGCGUAACGGAGGAGCACGAAGGUUAGCUAAUCCUGGUCGGACAUCAGGAGGUUAGUGCAAUGGCAUAAGCUAGCUUGACUGCGAGCGUGACGGCGCGAGCAGGUGCGAAAGCAGGUCAUAGUGAUCCGGUGGUUCUGAAUGGAAGGGCCAUCGCUCAACGGAUAAAAGGUACUCCGGGGAUAACAGGCUGAUACCGCCCAAGAGUUCAUAUCGACGGCGGUGUUUGGCACCUCGAUGUCGGCUCAUCACAUCCUGGGGCUGAAGUAGGUCCCAAGGGUAUGGCUGUUCGCCAUUUAAAGUGGUACGCGAGCUGGGUUUAGAACGUCGUGAGACAGUUCGGUCCCUAUCUGCCGUGGGCGCUGGAGAAUUGAGGGGGGCUGCUCCUAGUACGAGAGGACCGGAGUGGACGCAUCACUGGUGUUCGGGUUGUCAUGCCAAUGGCACUGCCCGGUAGCUAAAUGCGGAAGAGAUAAGUGCUGAAAGCAUCUAAGCACGAAACUUGCCCCGAGAUGAGUUCUCCCUGAGACUUUAAGUCUCCUGAAGGAACGUUAAAGACGAUGACGUUGAUAGGCCGGGUGUGUAAGCGCAGCGAUGCGUUGAGCUAACCGGUACUAAUGAACCGUGAGGCUUAACCUUACAACGCCGAAG
rnacentral:rRNA from 1 species